CCCUCUACGGCGGGCCAUCCGUCGCAAGACUAACCCUCAUCCGCUCGCGCGCUCUCCCACAGAGAUCCGAGCCGGCAUAAGGUAGUGCAAGCGAACCUAGGAGCAAAGCCUCCCGGGUGCUUCCCGCUCCACAAUGUCUUCGACCUCUGUCUCAGACAUUGCCCUAGGCCCGUGACCCUUCAACCAUCCGUUGCACAGUCACACGAAACACUAGGCUUGGCUACUCCGCUAGCCAAGGGACGACCAAUGUCCUAUGAGUCGGCGGGGGAGUCGGGGCCACUCUACACAGUGUCCACCCCUCCUCCUAUAUACCAUGCAAGACAUCUAGCCCUUUGGCACCCCGGGGGUACAAAGGUGCCAACCGAGGGGUACGUUUUGAAACCACGCAUGCGGUACCAAAAUCCUUGCCAUGGCAUGGGCCAUUGCUAGAGAAUUGCCUCCGUAGACUUGACAGCGGCUCCAACCUGACGGAACGCUUCAACUCCGCAACUCCAUAGCUUCGUCAACUCAAUGACUACCAAAUGUGGCCCUCAAGAGUGUCACGGAUGAGCUCUAACGAUUGACCCGUGACAUCCUCCCCCACUUGAACCAUCGACGCUCUCGUCGAUGCUCCAACUUCAUUGUCAGCAGAACCACUCCUAGACCUCUUAUCAGAGCCACCCACGGCCUUGGCAUCUCAAGCCACACUGACCUGCCUUCGAGUUCGUCCACUCAACAACACUUCUGUAAAGCCCAUCGUCCUCCAUGACGAAACGCCUCACACACAUACAUUCUGUACCACCCUGAGUCAGAGCUCUUCAGCCUUGGCGUCUCGCUCGCACCACACUAACUCCUUUGCGGAACCAGAAUCCAAAUCCCAUCAGACUGCAAGAUUGCACUGCCACUCCACCAAAACUUGGUCCUCGCCAUCAAAGCUACUCGGCCUGCACGCCUACUUCGCCCUGACAUAACCAAAGUUCCUGGAGUCCAGUAGCCAACCUUAUAGCUCCUCUGGGUGUGCUUGUCCUCCGCGACACGCACACGCUCUCUGCCAAGCUGCAAAAUGCACCGGGUGUGUAUGUCCUCCGCGACACACACGCGAACUCCGCCACGCUGCAGAACUCACCGAGUGUGCAUGUCCUCCGCGACACGCAC
rnacentral:lncRNA from 1 species